AUUGAACGCUGGCGGCAGGCUUAACACAUGCAAGUCGAGCGGAGCGGCGGACGGGUGAGUAAUGCUUAGGAAUCUGCCUAUUAGUGGGGGACAACAUCUCGAAAGGGAUGCUAAUACCGCAUACUCAUAGAUGAGCCUAAGUCGGAUUUGCUAGUUGGUGGGGUAAAGGCCUACCAAGGCGACGAUCUGUAGCGGGUCUGAGAGGAGGAUCCGCCAGCAUGGGACUGGUACACGGCCCAGACUCCUACCGGAGGCAGCAGUGGGGAAUAUUGGACAAUGGGGGGAACCCUGAUCCAGCCAGGCCGCGGGGGUGAAUAAGGCCUUAUGGUUGUAAAGCACUUUAAGCGAGGAGGCGUUACUCGCAGAAUAAGCACCGGCUAACUCUGUGCCAGCAGCCGCGGUAAUUC
rnacentral:rRNA from 1 species